AGAUGCACAGAGGAGCGGGCCGUUAGGAGACAGGCAGAGGUGGGGGCCUCAAGCCCGGGCCCACCAAAGCCUGUGGGAGCCCCCAGAAGCUGGCUGUGAAACCUCACUCCCCCACGUGUGGUCCCCAGGCGCGCUCGGCCUGCGCAGUACAACCGGCUUCUGCCUCCCCAGGACCCGCUUCCGCCUCCCCGGAACCCUCUUCCGCCUCCCCAAGACCCGCUUCCGCCUCCCCAGGACCCGCUUCCGCCUCCCCGGAACCCGCCUCCGCCUCCCCGGGACCCGCUUCCGCCUCCCCGGAACCCACUUCCGCCUCCCCAAGACCCGCUUCCGCCUCCCCGGAACCCGCUUCCCCCUCCCCCGGAACCCACUUCCGCCUCCCCAAGACCGGCUUCCGCCUCCCCGGAACCCGCGUCCGCCUCCCUGGAACCCACUUCCCCGUCCCCCGGAACCCGCUUCCGCCUCCCCAGGACCCGCUUCCACCUCCCCGGAACCCGAAUCCGCCUCCCCAGGACCCGCUUCCGCCUCCCCGGAACCUGCUUCCCCGUCCCCCGGAACAUGCGUCUGCCUCCCCGGAACCCACUUCCGCCUCCCCAAGACCCGCUUCUGCCUCCCCAGGACCCGCUUCCGCCUCCCCGGAACCCGAUUCCGCCUCCCCGGGACCCGCUUCCGCCUCCCCGGAACCCGCUUCUGUCUCCCCGGAACCCGCUUCCGCCUCCCCAAGACCCGCUUCCGCCUCCCCGGGACCCACUUCCGCCUCCCCAAGACCCGCUUCCGCCUCCCCGGAACCCACUUCCCCCUCCGCCGGAACCCGCGUCUGCCUCCCCGGAACCCACUUCCCCGUCCCCCGGAACAUGCGUCUGCCUCCCCGGAACCCGCUUCCGUCUCCCCGGAACCCACUUCCGCCUCCCCAAGACCCGCUUCUGCCUCCCCGGGACCCACUUCCGCCUCCCCAAGACCCGCUUCCGCCUCCCCAAGACCCGCUUCCGCCUCCCCGGAACCUACUUCCGCCUCCCCAAGACCCUCUUCUGCCUCCCCGGGACCGGCUUCCGCCUCCCCAGGACCCGCUUCCGCCUCCCCGGGACCCACUUCCGCCUCCCCCGGGUCUGUGCGGAUGCCAGGCCUGGUUGGGUCUGUUUUCCCUGGUGGCAUCGGGCCGCCCUCGCCGUCUCCCGGCGGUUUGUCCUACAAGUUUAACGCCGACGGCCGGCGUGUUCCACGGAGGACGCGUGCGCUUCCUUCACACCACAUCCAUUGGGACCAGUCAGGUGUGGCCAUUGGCCGUGGAUGUGGGAUUUAGAAUGUUCAGAAUUCAGACGCCAGGGUUGUUGGGGCUCCGGAUGUUGGGGGAUAACUGCUGCUUUCCGUCACUGCAGGAAAUAUUUAGCAUACGCUUCCCCUGCCCGGCACAGAUGAUGAGUAGACAAUGAGAGACCUCGUUCCUGCUCUCAAGGAGCUUGGAUUCCAGUAGGAGAGACAGUCAAUCAGAAGAGGACAAACAGAUGAGGAAAUAGGUUCUGGUAGCGGCUCUGCAGAGCUAAAAUCGUGUGAUAUUAGAGCAGGAGGCUGGGCGGCUGCCCCUCCCAGGAGGCGACCUUGAAGCUGAGACCUGAGCCAUGGAAACCCCGGCCGUGGGGUUUGCAGACAUAGUUCUAGACGGGGCACAGCAGGUGCAGGUGCAAAGGCCUGAUAUGGUGGGUUUGCAGACAGAGAUCUAGGGGGGGUACAGCAGGUGCAGGUGCAAAGGCCUGAUGUGGUGGGGUUUGCAGACAGAGUUCUAGUCGGGGCACAGCAGGUGCAGGUGCAAAGGCCUGAUGUGGUGGGGUUUGCAGACAGAGUUCUAGUCGGGGCACAGCAGGUGCUGGUGCAAAGGCCUGAUGUGGUGGGGUUUGCAGACAGAGUUCUAGUCGGGGCACAGCAGGUGCAGGUGCAAAGGCCUGAUGUGGUGGGGUUUGCAGACAGAGUUCUAGGCGGGGCACAGCAGGUGCAAAGGCCCCACGCGGUGGGUUUACAGACAGAGUUCUAGGCGGGGCACAGCAGCUGCAGGUGCAAAGGCCUGACUGUGGAGUUUACAGACAGAGUUCUAGGGGCGGGGCACAGCAGGUGCAAAGGCCCCACGCAGUGGGUUUACAGACAGAGUUCUAGGCAGGGGCACAGCAGGUGCAAAGGCCCCACGUGGUGGGGAUUGCAGACAGAGUUCCAGGCAGGGGCACAGCAGGUGCAAAGGCCCCACGUGGUGGGGAUUGCAGACAGAGUUCUAGACGGGGCACAGCAGGUGCAGGUGCAAAGGCCUGACGCGGUGGAGUUUGCAGACAGAGUUCUAGGGGGGGCACAGCAGGUGCAAAGGCCCCACGCAGGGAGCGGACCUGGUGCGUGUGCGUCACGGCAAGGAGAGCCAUGAGACUGGAGCUGAUGGAGAGGGAGCGGGACUCUCUCUGUGGGCUGUGGUGAGGAGUGGGGGUGGUUUUAAGUAGGGGGUGGCGCAGAGUGUGCAGUUUUGAAAGCCCUUCCAGGGGCCGUGUGGAAGUGUUGCUGAGGGAGGAGGAGGGUCUGGAAGGGCAGCAGAGACCCGGGAGGAGGCUGCGAGGGACGGCGGUGGCCCAGGCCAGGGGACCUAGGUGAGGGGAGAAGUGGACAAUGAGCCUGUGUUGGAGCCCGGAGGAGUUGCUGAUGGACCAGGGGCCCUGGCCCCCAGGGAGCCUGACCGGCCUCAGCCCCCAGCGCUGUCCCCCAGGAGCCCCGUCUCCCAGCACCUACAUCACAGCAGGCACAGGGACAGCCGGUCCCUCCUGGUCACAGGGAAGCUUGAGUUAAGGAGGGGAAUAGCCAAGCCCCAUCACCCGGGGGCUGCGGCCGGCGGCUCAGGCCCGCAGGGCUCUUCCACACUGGAGGGACCCUGUGCACUGAGGGAAACUGAGGCACAGAGAGGCCGAGCUGUGUCUGAGGUUACGCAGUGAAAAGCAGGACCAGAACCCGGGGCUGAGGGUCCUCCUGCGGGAGCCGGAGAGAACAUUCUGAGGGCACUCGUCACGCACGCACCUGUGUGGGGCACAGCAACGGCCCCGUGUCCACAUCCACCCUCGGAUUCUGUGAAGGUGCCCCUCACACGGCGACAGGGGACCUGCAGGUGGGACCGAGUGAGCAACCCUGAGAUGGGAUGAUUUGGGGGCCCGGUGUCCUCGCAGCAGGGGGUGAGAGUCAGAGAGAGACCGGAAGAGGCUGCGCUGUGGCUGCUAACCGGGAGGAAGGGGCCCCCAGCCAAGGGAUGUGGGCCCCUCAGGACGCUGGGAAAGGCGGAGCAGAUUGGGAACCAACUCUGCCCACACCUUGAUUUUAGACUUCUGAGCUCUAGACAUAAGCGGAUUAGCUCGCGUUGUUUGGAGCCACUCAAUUUGUGGUGAUUGGUGAUAGCAGCAAGAGGGAGUGGAUGGGCCGGGCGACUCAGCCGGCAUCGCAGAACCCCCCAGAAUCCUGCAGCGAUCCCGGUGUGUGGGAGAGAAGUUGGACGCCGGAUAAUCAGCGGCGUGGGCCCCGCGUCCGAGCGCCGUGGGCAGCAUCGGUGCAAAUGCAGUACCUCCGGCGCCGAGGCUCACGCCGAGUCCUGCGCGGUGCUGAGUUCCGAGGAGCCCUGGGUUCCAUUCUCCCCACAACCCUGCGGCUUCCACCCAUUUUAUAGAUGAGGCAGCUGAGGCACAGCAGGUCAAAGAGCUGCCCGAGAGCCCUUCCCUGGGUCAUGGCACUCGCGAUGCCUUUAGGGCUGUCACCACAGACCUGACUCGGAGCUGCUGGGCGCCAAAGGGACCUUGAUUGUCUCCUGCGAGAAGAACCCGGGGUCGGCGGCUCUGGGGUUGGUUAAUUCAGCAGCUCAGUGACUUUGUCAUGGGUCCAGGUCAUUGUUAUUUCACCGAAAUUCAUGCCAACCUGGAACCCCAAAAUGAGGCCUUCUGUGGAACAGGCUCUCUGCAGGUGUCAUUAAACAAGGUCACGUUGGAUUCAGGUCACCCUGACCCGGUGACUGCCGUCUUUAUGAGAAGCUGAGUGAGGGCACAGAGAGAAGGACGCGGGACAGGAUGAGAGGGGCAGAGACGAGCGAUGCGGCCACGGGCCAAGGAUGUCAGGGAGCCCCGGCCACCACCAGCACUGGGAGAGGCAGGACGGGCCUUCCCCUGCUGCCUCCAGAGGGGACGGGCUUCCGGCCCUCAGGCCUGUGUGAGGAAGCAUUUCUAUGGUCUUUUUUUUUUUUUGAGACAGAGUUUCCCUCUUGUUGCUGAGGCUGGAGUGCCGUGGCGCGAUCUCGGCUCACCGCAACCUCCGCCUCCCGGGUUCAAGCGAUUCUCCUGCCUCAGCCUCCUGAGUAGCUGGGACUACAGGCGCCCGCCACCAUGCUCAGCUAAUUUUGUUUGUAUUUUCAGUAGAGAUGGGGUUUCACCCUGUUGGCCAGGCUGGUCUUGAACUCCUGACCUCAGGUGAUCCGCCCGCCUGCGCCUCCCAAAGUGCUGGGAUGACAGGUGUGCGCCGUCGCGUCCGGCCCAUUUCUGUUGUCUUAAGCCCCGUUUGUGGGGAUCUGUUAGGGCAGCCACGGGAGACCGACCGCCUUCCCGGGGCCUCUGCUGGGUCAGUUCCUCCCCUGGCUGAAAGGCAGUGGCUCUGGUUUGGCAGAACAGGGUCCCCUGUCUCUGUGGGGCUCCUUUUGUGAAUGGGGACAUUUUUCCUGAGAAUCCCCCGCCGACUUUGCCGUGGGUCUCAUGAGCCCAGCCCGGCACUGCCCAGCAGAACCGUCCGUGUCUGCACCGUCCAGUGUGGCUGCCGUGAGUCACAUGGGCGGCUGGGCCUCGAGGUGUGGCCUGUGCUGUUGCAGUGCCAGCUUCAUUUUACCUGACUUUUCUCAAGUGGUCACAGGCAGCAAGCAGCUGCCGUGCUGGACAGCUCGGUCUGGGUGAAUCUUGACGCCUGAUCUUUGGGCUUCACCCGAAGGCGUAGAUCUGAGCAAGAUGUCUCUGUUGAGAAAGACACAGAGCUUGUCUCCUGGAGAGGCCAGAGUUCGUGCCAAGGUCUGUGGACACCGACCCCGUGUUCUCCCACACGUACCAUUUUGGCGCUGGGCUCGUCCAUACACAGAAGUCCCGUGAGUCAGGCCGUCCUGCUCUCUGCGGUGCCCUCACGCACCUCACCUCGUGAGCACUUCAGGGAGAGUUUCCUGUGCGUGUCUGGCUCUGCUCCAGGUGCGUGGAGCCCAGGCCCGGUGGGGGAUGGACGCAAACUGGGACACGGUCGGCAAAAUGACACUUCAUCCUUCCUGCAUCGCGGGUCCCUUAAGCUGGGAGGUGCGGGGAGUUGUGAGAGGGUGCUGGAGAUGGUUCAGCUCCAAAUGCAGCUUUUCCUUGAAGGCGAGGGGUCAGGUGUGGCCAGUUGACACGGUGGAUGAAUCCCAUGGCUCGACAGCAUCCCUAAAGAUCUGGGUUCUGGCCGGGCGUGGUGGCUCACGCCUGUAAUCCAGCAUUUUGGAAGACCAAGGCGGCAGGAUCACUUGAGCCCAGGAGUUUGAGACCAGCCUGGGCAGCUUGGUGAAACCCUGUCUCUACCAAAAAAGAAAAAACAUUAGCCAGGCAGGGUGGUGCACACCUGUGGUCCCGGCUAUGUGGGAGACUGAGGCAGGAGGAGCACGUGAGCCUGAGAAUUCGAGGCCGCAGUGAGCCAAGAUCAUGCCACUGCCCUCCAGCCUGGGUGACAGAGCAAGACCCUGCCUCAGAAACAAAACUCAGGUUUUGUUUCUGAGAACAAAGAACCCAUAUCUGGGUUCUUUCUGUCCUUCUCCCAUCCAAGUACCAAUCAGGCCCGACCCUGCUCAGCUUCCAAGGCCAGACAACAUUGGGCUGUUUUCAGGACGGUGUGACCACAGUCUCUCCCAUCUUUCUGUGCCGCCGUCCUCUGCACGCUGGCUUGGCGACCUUCAGGGUCACAAAAUGGUGGCCACAGCACCCGACGUCGCUGGGACCCGGCCACGUCCACUGGGAGCAGAGGUCAUCCCUUCCUGGAGCUCUUUGUGAGAGACUCCGGCCGUUCUCCCUCCUCCAUUGGCUGGAAAUGGCAAACCCUUCACUUGUGGAAGGGAACGGGGCCACCAAACUGGCUUAAAGACCAGCGGCAUCUGGGAACCUGUUGCAAAUGCUGAUUCUCGAGCCCCACCCCAGACCUGCUGGGUCAGAGACUCUGGGGGGCUUGGAGAGCUGCGUUUUGUGAGUCCUCCAGGUGAUUCUGAGUCACACUCAGGUCUGAGAUCCACCAGCUGCAGCUGCGUGUGGCCGUCCUGCCGAUCAACUACCACUAUUUAUAGCAAGCAUUCUGUGAUCCUUCACUCCUGAAAUGAAACCCAAGUGUACCUGUAACACCCACCUACGCAGGAACUCCAAGUCAGUACGAUGCCCCAACCGCAGUGAAACGGAGAAACGCACACCUACGCAGGAAUUCCCCCCAAGUCAGUACGAUGCCCCAACCUCAAUGAAACGGAGAAACGCACACCUACGCAGGAACUCCCCCCAAGUCAGUACGAUGCCCCAACCUCAAUGAAAUGGAGAAACGCACACCUAUGCAGGAAUUCCCCCCAAGUCAGUACGAUGCCCCAACCUCAAUGAAACGGAGAAACGCACACCUACGCAGGAAUUCCCCCCAAGUCAGUACGAUGCCCCAACCUCAAUGAAACGGAGAAACGCACACCUACGCAGGAACUCCCCCCAAGUCAGUACGAUGCCCCAACCUCAAUGAAACGGAGAAACGCACACCUACGCAGGAACUCCCCCCAAGUCAGUACGAUGCCCCAACCUCAAUGAAAUGGAGAAACGCACACCUACGCAGGAAUUCCCCCCAAGUCAGUACGAUGCCCCAACCGCAGUGAAACGGAGAAACGCAAUGGUGGUGAUUCCUAGUAACUCAAAAUAUGUUUCAGCCUGUAAAUGUGCAGGGUCCACUCUCCGGGAAGCACAGAGGCCGCCACAAAGGCCACCAUUCCUGUGACAGCCACAGACGGGGCAGAUGCAGGCUGCCAUUCUGCAGCUCCGACACCACGGCUGGAGUCACACGGACGAUUUGGCUUCUAAAAUAGUGAACAACUAUUUUAGUCCAACUUGUAUAAAAACGAUGCUGCCAGGCACGGAGGCUCAUUCCUAUAAUCCCAGCACUUUGGGAGGCAGAGGCGGGCUGAUCACCUGAGGUCAGGAGUUCGACACCAGCCUGUCAACAUGGUGAAACCCCGUCUCUACUAAAAAUACAAAAAUUGGCUGGGUGUGAUGGCGGGCAACUGUAAUCCCAGCUACUCGGGAGGCUGAGGCAGGAGAAUCGCUUGAACCCAAGAGGUGGAGGUUGCAGUGAGCCGAGAUCACGCCACUGCACUCCAGCCUGGGCGACAGAGUGAGACUAUGUCUCAAAACAAACAAAAAAUGCCAAAAAGUUAAAGAGAAUUACCUUAUGAUCCACCAAUUUCACUUCUUGGAUAUAUACCUCCCAGAAAUGGAGAGCAGGGACUUGAGGGGAUGUUUGUACACUCACGGCCACAGCAGCAUAACUCCCAGCAGCCCAAAGGUGGAAACAGUCCAGGUGUCUGUUGAUGGAUGAGUGGAUCAACACAGCAUGGCCAUCCACAUGCUGAAAUACGACGUGGCCCACGGCGUGGCCAUCCACACGCUGAAAUACGGCACAGCCACGGCGUGGCCAUCCACACGCUGAAAUAUGAUGUGGCCACAGCGUGGCCAUCCACAUGCUGAAAUACAGCACAGCCACGGCGUGGCCAUCCACACACUGAAAUAUGACGUGGCCACGGCGUGGCCAUCCACACGCUGAAAUAUGACGUGGCUAUGGUAUGGCCAUCCACACGCUGAAAUACAGCACAGCCAUGGCGUGGCCAUCCACACACUGAAAUAUGAUGUGGCUAUGGUAUGGCCAUCCACACGCUAAAAUACGACGUGGCCACGGCGUGGCCAUCCACACGCUGAAAUAUGAUGUGGCCACGGCGUGGCCAUCCACACGCUGAAAUACGGCACAGCCAUGGCGUGGCCAUCCACACACUGAAAUAUGACGUGGCUAUGGUAUGGCCAUCCACACGCUGAAAUAUGACAUGGCCACGGCAUGGCCAUCCACACGCUGAAAUAUGAUGUGGCCACGGCGUGGCCAUCCACACGCUGAAAUACGGCACAGCCAUGGCGUGGCCAUCCACACACUGAAAUAUGACGUGGCCACGGCGUGGCCAUCCACAUGCUGAAAUAUGACAAUAUGAUGCGGCCAAGGAAAGAAACGAGGCUGUGACCCAGGCAUGAGUGGAUCAACACAGUGUGGCCAUCCACACGCUGAAAUACGACGCGGCCAAGAAAAGGAACGAGGCUCUGACCCAGGCCACGGCACGGACGGACCUUGAGGAUGUCUCACUCGGUGAGAGACUCCAGACACAGAAGGACAAGCUUUGUGCAAUUCCACCCAUCAGAGGUCCCCAGAGCCAUCAGAUUCACAGAGACAGAAAGUAGGAUGGGGCUGGGGAGGGGACGGGGAGUAAGUGUUUUGUGGGGUCAGUUUGAGUUUGGGAAGAUGAGGACGUUCUGGAGAGACGGUGGUGGUGGCUGCACAGCCACGGGAAUGCGCUGAGUGCCACUGAACCGUGCGAUUAAAGACAGUCAAAACUCUAAAUUUUAUGUUAUGUGUGUUUUACCACAAUAAAAAAGCAAGCACACGAAAACGCGCCACUCUCUUGCGUCAUGGGCCACGUGGAGUUAGGUUGGAGGCGUGUGGCAGUCAUGGAAGGCUUUCCCCACAAGAUGCCUGGAGGAAGCUCCGAGGCCCUGGGGACAGUUCGGUGUCAUUGUGAGUCCCCCCCCUCCUGUAGCGCCGGCUGCCCAGCCUCGCGAUGAUGGCCAACAGGGCCCCACAUUUCCGCGGCACCCCCAGGGCAGCACACACCCCUCGCCCCUGUGGAAAGCCAUGGCCAGGGGCACUGACGGGGGCUGUGGCCAGUGGGAGGGGCGUCCUCCUGGCCAGGGGUGGAGGGCGGCACUGGUCAGCGUGGCGCAGGGUGUCAAAGAAAUUUGCCUUUAAAUAGUUUCAACCUUAGAUCAAAGAAACAAGAACAGUAGACUACGUAGAGCUUUUGUAAGUUUGGAAUUCUAUUGAGACGAAAAGUUCCAAAGAAGACUAGUACAAAGAGUUCCCAUGUGUCAUUCACCUAGACUGGCCGAUUAUUAACAUCUUGCCUCAUUUAUUCUGUCUGUAUAAAUUAUUAUUAUUAUCAUUAUUGAGACACGGUUUUGCUCUCGUUGCCCAGGCUGGAGUGCAAUGGCGCAAUCUCGGCUCAUUGCAACCUCCGCCUCCCGGGUUCAAGCGAUUCUCCUACCUUAGGCUCCCACUGUAUAAAUUAUUAUUAUUACUGUCGUUAUUAUUGAUGAACAAUUGAGAAAGUCUGCAGCCGUGAUACCCCUCUACCCUCAAACACGCUAGGGUAUAUAGUCUAAGGACAAGGAUUUUCUCCAGCAUAGCUAUGGUAUGAUUAACAAAGUCAGGAAAUGUACCGUUACAAUCCUGCGAUCACAUUUUCAGUGCGUAUUCAAAUGUGACCAGUUUUCCCAACGGUGUCAGAGCAACCUUUAUUUUCCCAUCCCACAUUGCAUUUAGCCAUCCUGCCUUUUUUUUUCUUUUUUUGAGACAGGAUCUCGCUCUGGAUCAUCCAGGCUGGAGUGCAAUGGUGCCAUCUCAGCUCACUGCAACCUCCGCCUCCUGGGUUCAAGCGAUCCUUGCACCUCAGCCUCUUGCUGAGACCUCCCAGGCUGCUGGGACCACAGCUGUGUGCCACCACGCCCAGCUAAUUUUUAUUUUAUUUAUUUUAAUUUUUUAGAGACAGAGUCUGGCUCUGUCGCCCAGGCUGGAGUGCAGUGGCACCAUCUCGGCUCACGGCAACCUCCACCUCCUGCGUUCAAGCGAUUCUCCUGCCUCAGCCUCCCGAGUAGCUGGGACUACAGGUGUGCACCACCAUGCCUGGCUACUUUUUGUAUUUUUGUAUUUUUUUUUUUUUGUAGAGACGGGGUUUCACCAUGUUGCCCAGGCUGGUCUUGAACUCCUGAACUCAAGCCGUCUGUCUGCCUCGGCCUCCCACAGUGCUGGGAUUAGAGGCGUGAGCCACUUGCCCCGUCCGUCCUGUCUCUUUUACCACCUUUAGCCUCACAGUUGUUCCGUCCUGGGAUCCAUGGAGCCAGUAGUGUUGAAGAGUGCACACCGGCUGCUGGGCUGCCGUCCCUCAGUUUGUGUCUGCCUGGUGUUUGCCUGCAGUUGAGUCGAGGUUGUGUUUUUGGCAGGACGCACAGAGGGGUGCUGUGUUUUCCCAGCCCUUCGUGUCAGGAGGCCCCCGGGUGCUGGUUUGUCCUGAUACUGGUGCUGGAGACUUUGAUCACCUAGUGUCCUGGGGCGAACGGUGUUCCCCAAAACUCACGUCCUUAUUUGGAAAAGGUCCUUUGCAGACGUGGUUAGUUAAGAUGAGGCCACACUGGAGUUACUGAAAUAGGGUGGGGCCUAAAUGCAAUGGCUCGUGUCCUCUAAGAAGAGGGAAAUCUGCACAGAAGGAGACAGCUGUGUGGAGGAGGCAGAGAUGGAGUAACACGGCCACAAGCCCGGGACGCCGGGAGCCCCCAGAAGCUGGAAGAGGCAGGAAGGACCCUCCCCCGGGGCUUCAGAGGGAGCGAGGCCCUGCCCGCAGCUUGACCUCAGACUCCCGGCUCUGGGACGUGGAGAGGAUCCGCUCCCGUGGCCCCCAGGUGUGGCCUUUGCUCACGGCAGCCCUGGGAAAUGAAUGUACUUGGUGAAGGUGACUUUUCUCCCCCGUAAAGCUCUGUUUAUUUCCCUUAUAAUGAGGAAGAUCUGCGGGGACUCGUGGAAUUGGGACUCGGGUGCAUGGGGACGUCGCAGUGCACGCCCCGGGAGCCACUCGCAGGCCAGGCCGUGCACGUUUCCAGCCCAAGCGCUGCCUGCGGCCUCCCCAGCCCUGGCCCCGGCAUCCGGUCUUCCUUCCCUGGAACGUGAUCUGGGGAGACAGAUGUUGACACUGUGCAGACAUCCUGGCUCCCAGCUCCCAGCAAACCUUCACGCACUGGUUUUAGCAAAACCUUAGGGUUCUUGUGUGAAUGGACACUUUUCAUUUUAUUAAUAUAUUUAUUUUAAUGGAAAACCAGGGAGUUAUGGUUGCAGUGUGAAGUUUCCUCUUUUUCUCAUAUAAUUUUUUAAUUUUUUUUUUAGAUGGAGUUUUGUUCUUGUCACCCAGGCUGGAGUGCAGUGGUGCGAUCUCGGCUCACCGCAACCUCCGCUUCCCAGGUUCAAGUGAUUCUCCUGCCUCAGCCUCCCGAGUAGCUGGGAUUACAGGCAUAAGCCAACAUGCCCAGCUAAUCUUGUAUUUUUAGUAGAGACGGGGUUUCACCAUGUUGGUCAGGCUAGUCCUGAGCUCCUGACCUCAGGUGAGCCGCCCGCCUCGGCCUCCCAAAGUGCUGGGAUUGCAGGCCUGAGCCAUUGUGCCCGGCUCUCAUGCAAAUUUUUGAAAAAGCAGAUAUAAUUCGCAUACCCUAAUCCCAACUGUUUAAACUGUGCAGGGCGGUGUAUUUAGUGCAGCCACACGGUUCUGCAACCCUCACCCGUGUCUAGUUCCAGGACGCUCCCGUCAGGCAAAAUGGAAACUUAUCGCCUGCCCUCAGCCGUCCCUCCCCUCCACCCCCUCCCCAUCCCCGGCGCCCACGCGUCCCCUUCCUGCCUCUGUGGAUCGGCCUGUCUUGGCCACUUCAUAGAAAUGGGAUCACACGCUGUGUGGCCUUUCCUGUCCGGCGUCCUCACGGUGCGUCCGUGCCAUGGCCCGUAUCGGAGACUUGCUCCUUUUCACGUCUGGGUCACGUUCCAGAGUGCGGAUGGACCCCACUGCAUUUAUCAGUUCAUCCGUUGAUAGAUAUUUUAGUUGUUUCCUGCAAUUUCCUUUAAAAAGUAAACGCAAUUAUGUUUGUAAGUGGAGUUUAUUUAGAAGGAAAAUACCAAGUAAAUGACAUCGAUACAGACCAUGGCAAAGCCUAUGAGGUGGGUCCCGGUGGCUGGCGUGGGCGGUGGCGGAGACUCGGACGGUCUCCCAGGCUGGGAGUGCAGACAUGGGGACCUCGGCUUGUAUCUGCCCUGGCCUGCUGCGUGCGUGAGGCCGGCCAGGUGCCAUCCCCUCUCUGGGCUUCGGUUUACUGACUUGUACAGUGGCUCCUUCCCUUAACGUCCUGGGGUGGGUUCUGGGUCAUGCCUUCUCUCUGGGCCUCAGUUUCUGAAUUUGCAAAGGGGAAGGUUGAAUGUGAAGCCGCCAGGGCUCCUCCCCAUCUUCUGUGGGAGGGUCCCGGGGCUGCCACCACAAACCACCACAAACUGUGGGGCUUAAAACAACACAGACAGCCGGGCGCGGUGACUCACGCCUGUAGUCCCAGCACUUUGGGAGACCGAGGCGGAUCACAAGGUCAAGAGAUCGAGACCAGCGAGGCCAAUAUGAUGAAACCCCGUCUCUACUAAAAAUACAAAAAUUAGCCGGGCGUGGUAGUGGGCGCCUGUAAUCCCAGCUACUCAGGAGGCUGAGACAGGAGAAUGGUGUGAACCCGGGAGGCGGAAGUUGCAGUGAGUCGUGAUCGCACCACCGCACUCCAGCCUGGCGACAGAGCAAGACUCCGUCUCAAACAAACAAACAAAAACCCCAAAAACAAAACAAAACACACACACACACAAACAUAGACUUGUUCUGUCACAGUUCUGGGGCCCAACGUCCGAGCCAAGGUGUGGGCAGGGCUGGUUUCUGCUGGAGGCUCUGAGGGAGGCUCUGUCCCAGGCCUCUCUCCCGUGUCUGGUGCCUGGGGGCCGGCCUUGGUGUCCUCGGCUGCACACGGCCCCUCCCUUCUGUGUCUCUGUCUCUCAAAUCUCCCUCUGUGCUUGUCUUUUUUUUUUUUUAUUUUGAGACAGACUCUCCCUCUGUCACCCAGGCUCGAGUGCAGUGGCGUGAUCUUGGCUCUCUGCAGCCUCCGCCUCCUGGGUUCAAAUGAUUCUCCUGCCUCAGCCUCCCAAGUAGCUGGGAUUACAGGCAUGCAACCACCACGCCCAGCUAAUUUUUUUAUUUUUAUUUUUAUUUUUGUAUUUUCAGUAGAGUUGGGGUUUCUCCAUGUUGGCCAGGCUAGUCUCAAACUCCUGACCUCAAGUGAUCCACUCACCUCGGCCUCCCAAAGUGCUGGGAUUACAGGCGUGAGCCACCGCGCCCGGCAAAAAUGUGUUUUUUAAGACAUGGUUGUGCUCUGUUGCCCAGGCUGGAGUGCCGUGGUGCCAUCACAGAUCACUGCAGCCUCAACCUCCUGGGCUCAAGCCAUCCUCCCACCUCAGCCUCCUGAGUAGCUGGGACCACAGGCCCACACUCACCAUGCUCAGCUAAUUAAAAAUUUUUCUUUUGUAGAGAUGAGGCCUCAUUACAUUGCCCAGGCUGGUCUUGAACUCCUGGCUUCGAGACAGCCUCCCACCUAGGUCUCCUGAAGUGCUGCGAUUACAGGCAUGAGCUGCUGUGCCAGGCCUAGAAAUUUAUUUCUCACGGUUCUGGAGGCUGGGAGGGCCACGAUCGAGGCGCCGGAAGAUUCAGUGUCUGGCGAGGGCCUCUUUACAGAGGGCCGUGUUCUCCUGUGUCCUCACGUGGUGGAGGGCUGGGCUCUGUCUGGGGUCUCUUUUAUAAGGGCACUGAUCCCAGUCCUGAGGGUGGAGCCCUCAUAGCCUCCUCACCUCCCAAAGGCCCACCUUUAAAUACCCUCACAGUGGGGCAUAGGUUUCCACAGAGGGAUUUUGAGGGGGGCACAGAUAUUCAGCCCUAGAUCGAUAUUUACAAACUGGGAGAAUUUCACAGAAAAGCCCUGAAUUUCUGGUCUCUUUUUUAAAAAAGCACAUGGCCGGCAGCACUGGGCGCCGUGGAGCGUGGGACAUGCAGUGAGCUGAGGUCCCCGCCUCUUCCCGUCGUGCAGGGGGAGCAGUGCAGAUCCUGGAGCCCAGGGGUGUGGGUUCAGGACCCAGCUCUGCGGGCCGUGUGGCCCAGGAGGUCAGUCACCCUCCCACCCGGGCCUGUUUCCCGAGGGGCCAUUGCUGCCCAUGGCAUGUGGAUUUGCGUGGAGUGGAUUAACAGACCACGUGCACAGUGUGUCCACAGCAGAGCCUCACACGUGACAAGCGCCCUGAGUUAGCGAGGUGUUGGUAUCAUUACCGGAUCUGCGUGCAGUGGAUUAAAGGAUGCUGUGCACAGCGUGUCCGCAGCAGAGACUUACACGUGACAAGCGCCCUGAGUUAGCGAGGUGUCGGUAUCGUUACUGCAUUGCAUCCUACCUCGUGUGUUUACCUGGCUGAUCCUGAAGGCUGUAGGCAUCUGAGUUUGCAGUCCCUGUUCUCAACCGAAUAGGAUAUUGCAUUUCCUCUCGUGAGCUGCCGUGGGCCACAGAGGGUUUGCCCCCCACCUCCCCCGUGCACUAGGCUGGUGUCCCCACAACGGGACCCAUGGACCACACAGUUCAGGGUUUCAGCCGCACAACCGGAGUGGGCUACGUGUUAAUAAGGGGGCAGGUAAGGGAAUGAGAAUCCCUCACCCUAUGGCCCUGUAGCGCCAGACACUGGCACAGACAUCAUCCCAGAGGCACAUGCUCUGCCUGAGAGAAGACAGCCAUUGAGCAGCCAGCAUCCCACCAAAGCUGCCUCCUCAGUGGGAGAAUCCAGUGCUAGGGACAGGGACCAUGGCUAAUUCCUUUAGGUAUGACCUGUCUACUACAUGCCUAGAGUCCAUUCAUCUGUUCAUCCAUUCAUCCAUCUACUCAUCCACCCACCCAUCCAUCCAUCCAUUCAUCCACCCACCAAUCCACCCAUCUGUCCACCCAUCCAACCAUCCACCUGUCCAUCCAUCCACCCUCCAUCCAUCCACCCAUCCACCCACCCAUCCAUCCAUCCGUCCAUCCACCCAUCCACCUACACAUCCAUCCACCCAUCCAUCCAUCUGUCCAUCCAUCCAACCAUCCGUCCAUCCAUCCACCCUCCAUCCACCCACCCAUCCAUUCACCCGUCCAUCCAUCCAUCCAUCCACCCACCCAUCCAUCCAUCCACCCACCCAUCCACCUACACAUCCAUCCACCCAUCCAUCCGUCCAUCCAUCCACCCAUGCACUCAUCCACCCACCCAUCCAUCCACCUAUUCAUCCACCCACCCAUCCAUCCAUCCAUCCACCCAUCUGUCCACCCAUCCAACCAUCCGUCCAUCCAUCCACCCACCCAUCCACUCACCCGUCCAUCCAUCCAUUCAUCCACCCACCCAUCCAUCCAUCCAUUCAUCCACCCAUCUGUCCACCCAUCCAACCAUCCAUCUGUCCAUCCAUCCACCCACCCAUCCACUCACCCGUCCAUCCAUCCAUUCAUCCACCCACCCGUCCAUCCACCCAUCCACCUACACAUCCAUCCACCCAUCCAUCCAUCUGUCCAUCCAUCCACCCAUCCACUCAUCCACCCACCCAUCCAUCCAUCCAUUCAUCCACCCAUCUGUCCACCCAUCCAACCAUCCAUCUGUCCAUCCAUCCACCCACCCAUCCACUCACCCGUCCAUCCAUCCAUUCAUCCACCCACCCAUCCAUCCAUCCGUCCAUCCACCCAUCCACCUACACAUCCAUCCACCCAUCCAUCCAUCCACCCAUCCACUCAUCCACCCACCCAUCCAUGCACCUAUUCAUCCACCCACCCAUCCAUCCAUCUGUCCACCCAUCCAACUAUCCAUCUGUCCAUCCAUUCACCCAUCCACUCAUCUACCCACCCAUCCACCCAUGCACUCAUCUACCCACCCAUCCAUCCAUCCAUUCAUCCACCCACCCAUCUACCCAUCUGUCCACCCAUCCAACCACCCAUCUGUCCAUCCAUCCACCCUCCAUCCAUCCACCCACCCAUCCACUCAUCCACCCACCCGUCCAUCCAUCCAUUCAUCCACCCACCCACCCAUUCAUCCAUCCAUCCACCCACCCAUGCAUCCAUCCAUCCACCCAUCCACCCACCCGUCCAUCCAUCCAUUCACCCACCCAUCCAUCCACCCAUCCACCCACCCGUCCAUCCAUCCAUUCAUCCACCCACCCAUCCACUCAUCUAUCCACCCACCCAUCCAUCCGUCCACCCGUCCACCCAUCCACCCACCCAUCCACCCAUCCACUCAUCCACCCACCCAUCCAUCCACCCAUCCAUCCAUCCAUCCACCCAUCCACUCAUCCACCCACCCACCCACCCGUCCAUCCACCCACCCAUCCAUCCAGCCAUCCGUCCACCCGUCCACCCACCCAUCCACCCAUCCACUCAUCCACCCACCCAUCCAUCCACCCAUCCAUCCAUCCACCCAUUCACUCAUCCACCCACCCACCCACCCGUCCAUCCACCCACCCAUCCAUCCAGCCAUCCGUCCACCCACCCACCCAUCCACCCACCCACCCAUCCAUCCACCCACCCAUCCAUCCAUCCAUCCGUCCAUCCAUCCAUCCACCCAUCCACCCACCCAUCCACCCACCCAUUCAUCCAUCCAUCCAUCCACCCGCCCAUCCAUCCAUCUGUCCAUCCAUCCAUCCACCCAUCCACUCAUCUACUCAUCUACCCACCCACCCAUCCAUCCAUCCUUCCACCCUCCAUCCAUCCACCCACCCAUCCAUUCAUUGUCCAUCUGCCUGUCCAUCCAUCUACCCAUCCAUCCAUCAUCCACUCACCCAUCAUCCAUCCGUUCACCCACUCACCCACCCAUCUAUUCAUCUUCCAUCCAUUCUUUCAUUCAUCCAUCCACCUGCCAUCUUUCUGUCAGUCCAUCCACCCAUCAUGCAUCCAUUCAACAGGAGGUGAGGCUGCUUAGUCCAUGCCCUGCUUAAGUGCUCCCUGGCUCCCCAGCUGGCCCAGGAUGAGCCCCUGCCCGUCAUCACAGCCCAGGUCCUGUGGCCUCUGCUUCCUGCCUGCAUUCUCACAUCUGUCUCUGCUCCUUGCUCUCCCUGCUCCAGGUACAUGGAGCCGUGGAGAGGGGCAGAGCCUGGGCCGGCCCACACAGUGACCUGUACACACCUCAGAAGCCCUCAGGCUGAUGUAUCUGUGGGGUAAAGUCCUAAAAAUGGAGCUGCAGGGUCAAAGUGUUUGCGUGUUGAUCAUUUAAAGAAACUGAGGUGGACUUCACAUAACGUUAUUCAUCAUUUUGCAUGUUGCAUUUUUCACAGUUCAGUAGCAUUUCGUACAUUCAUAAUAUCGUGCCACCACCCCUUCUGUCUAAUUCCAGAAUUUCUCAUGACCCCAGUAGGAAACCUGUUCGUGUCAGCCUUCAUUCCCCGGCUCCUGGCACCCACACAUGCUCUUGCUGCCUCUGUAGGACAUUUCAUAGAGAUGACGUGGGCUGUGCCCCUUACCCUCCCUCCAGCAAGGGCCAACGUUGGAAGGACGCUGUGGCCUUCGCCUCCUGGCCCUGUUCCCCCACCCUUUACGGCACUGAAGCAGGUCAGGGACUCGGUGGGACGCCUCUGCCCCUCUCGUCCCUCAGUAUUAUCAGUCAUUGAGAUGGUGAAUUCCCUUUUCAUGGAAACAGCUGUCUGGGCCAGAAGCCCGCAAACUUCCUGUGGAGGGCGAGGCCAGCAGUGUGUGCAUCUGUGGCUGCCCUGGACGUCUGCCCCACUGUUUGCCAGACCCUGAACUGGGCGCUGGAGAUAGGGAAGUGCUCAGGAUCGCACCAUCCCCACGCUCCUCGGCUUCGGUGCUGGUGGAACAGAAAGAGACCGACGAGGGCAAGACGGUUAAAUGAACAAGCAGCAUAGAGCGUCUGGGGGAACCACCAGGCUCCUGAGAAACAGCAACACAGAAAAACAUGCCUGGAGUCAGAGGGGGCGGCUCGCAGGACAGUGUCAAGGCUGGGCCUUGAGGUGGGGGAGGCACGACGGCCCCAGAGCCACCAGGGACAGAGGAAAGGGCUCG
rnacentral:lncRNA from 1 species